UACGUAGGGUGCAAGCGUUGUCCGGAAUUAUUGGGCGUAAAGAGCUCGUAGGCGGUUUGUCGCGUCUGCUGUGAAAACUCGGGGCUUAACCCCGGGCCUGCAGUGGGUACGGGCAGACUAGAGUGCGGUAGGGGAGACUGGAAUUCCUGGUGUAGCGGUGAAAUGCGCAGAUAUCAGGAGGAACACCGGUGGCGAAGACGGGUCUCUGGGCCGUAACUGACGCUGAGGAGCGAAAGCGUGGGGAGCGAACAGG
rnacentral:rRNA from 1 species